CGCGUGGGAAUGUACCUAUUGGUUCGGGACAACACAGGGAAACUUGUGCUAAUACCGAAUGAGCCCGUAAGGGGAAAGAUUUAUCGCCAAUGGAUCAGCCCGCGUUCGAUUAGCUAGUUGGUGAGGUAAUGGCUCACCAAGGCGACGAUCGAUAGCUGUUCUGAGAGGAAGAUCAGCCACACUGGGACUGAGACACGGCCCAGACUCCUACGGGAGGCAGCAGUUGGGAAUCUUGGACAAUGGGGGAAACCCUGAUCCAGCCAUGCCGCGUGAGUGAUGAAGGCCUUCGGGUUGUAAAAC
rnacentral:rRNA from 1 species